AUUGAACGCUGGCGGCAUGCCUUACACAUGCAAGUCGAACGGCAGCGGGCCUUCGGGUGCCGGCGAGUGGCGAACGGGUGAGUAAUGCAUCGGAACGUGCCAUUGAGUGGGGGAUAACGUAGCGAAAGUUGCGCUAAUACCGCAUAUUCUGUGAGCAGGAAAGCAGGGGACCGCAGGGCCUUGCGCUCUUUGAGCGGCCGAUGUCAGAUUAGCUAGUUGGUGAGGUAAAGGCUUACCAAGGCGACGAUCUGUAGCGGGUCUGAGAGGAUGAUCCGCCACACUGGAACUGAGACACGGUCCAGACUCCUACGGGAGGCAGCAGUGGGGAAUUUUGGACAAUGGGGGCAACCCUGAUCCAGCCAUGCCGCGUGAGUGAAGAAGGCCUCGGUUGUAAG
rnacentral:rRNA from 1 species